rnacentral:rRNA from 1 species
UCUGGGUUGGGAUGAGUGGCGAACGGGUGAGUAACACGUGAGUAACCUGCCCCCUUCCUUUGGGAUAACGGUCGGAAACGGCUGCUAAUACCGGGUAUUCACUGUCCUUCGCAUGGGGGGUGGGUGGAAAGGUUUUUUUCUGGUGGGGGAUGGGCUCGCGGCCUAUCAGCUUGUUGGUGGGGUGAUGGCUUACCAAGGCUUUGACGGGUAACCGGCCUGAGAGGGUGACCGAUCACAUUGGGACUGAGAUACGGCCCAG